rnacentral:lncRNA from 1 species
UAUUGUAAAGACCAACUUGGGAAAUACAUUUUAUAUAGAUGUUUUUAAUAAAUAAUUAAAUCUGAUUUCUUAAAGAAAUGGAUCUUAAAUAAUGAAGAAGGAUUGUAUUUUAGAACAAGUAAAACAUGUAGGUGACAAGAGGUGUGCAAAAGUGAGCCAUUGAGCAAGGACUUUUUAUAUAUCUGGAUAACAUAAGGACCUAUGUGGAAUCACUUAAUAAACAAUAGAAAUUCAAAAAUCAGCAGUUGUCAGCAUGGAGGCCAAAAAGCAAAGGGUGUCUGAUUUUCUACACGCCCAAGUGAGUGUCAAGGAGAUCAUAAAGGUGGUAGAAUGCUCCUGGAGUCUUGUUUAAAAGAUUAAAAGAAUGUUUGCUUCAGGGCAGAGCCUUGAGAGGUCUCUCGGCAGUGAUAUGCCCCGGAAAAUGGGAAUCAUGGAGGAUGUGGGCACUGCGAUCGUCGAAAGUCCGACCAAGUCUAGGGGUCAGCCCUCCAAGAAUCUCAACGUCAGUAAUUUGACUGUGAGGAGGUUUGUGAAGCAUUCGGGGAGGCCUCAUAAGUACGACAACAUUAGUAGCUGCUUUCAACAGCAACCAAGACCAACCGGGACAAGAGAGGCCAGAAAUGUUUGACUUGGUUAAAGUAUAACUGUCAGUUUGGCCCCCCUCCUCACCAGACUGUUUCACCCUCAACUAUGCACAGAGUCUCUGAUACCCCUCACCCAAAAUUGGUUGACCUUGUGGCCUCCAUCAAGCAGCAGUGGGCGACCAUGUUCGAGGCUUACAUCAAGAAGAUCUGCAGUUCCGUUCAGCACGGUUUGGAGGCGUUGGCAGUAGCCAAAGGGAAUCAUUUUGAAAAAUAGAAAAA